UACGUAGGUGGCAAGCGUUGUCCGGAAUUAUUGGGCGUAAAGCGCGCGCAGGCGGCCUCCUAAGUCCGAUGUGAAAGCCCACGGCUCAACCGUGGAGGGUCAUUGGAAACUGGGGGACUUGAGUGCAGGAGAGAAGAGUGGAAUUCCACGUGUAGCGGUGAAAUGCGUAGAGAUGUGGAGGAACACCAGUGGCGAAGGCGGCCCGCUGGGCAGUGGCUGACGCUGAGGCGCGACAGCGUGGGGAGCAAACAGG
rnacentral:rRNA from 1 species